UUCUUCAUUCUAAAUGCUGGAGAUCAGUUUUAAAUGGCUGGAUUUAUGGUAUUUGUGGUUCAAAGUUUACUGUUCAUGACAUUUUUGCAGCACUGACCAAUUUGGCUUUCUUCUAUGAUCGGACGAUUAUUUAUAGUUCGUUAAGGCUGAAAUUUGGUGAGUAUGUUUGGGAUAGAUCUUUGAUUUAGAUUGUGGAGAUCACAUUUGAAUAACUAGAGCUCAUGCGUUUUGCAUGAAUAGUA
rnacentral:lncRNA from 1 species